rnacentral:rRNA from 1 species
AAACCAACAGGGAUUGCCUUAGUAGCGGCGAGUGAAGCGGCAAAAGCUCAAAUUUGAAAUCUGGCUCUUUCAGAGUCCGAGUUGUAAUUUGAAGAAGGUAUCUUUGGGUCUGGCUCUUGUCUAUGUUUCUUGGAACAGAACGUCACAGAGGGUGAGAAUCCCGUGCGAUGAGAUGAUCCAGGCCUAUGUAAAGUUCCUUCGAAGAGUCGAGUUGUUUGGGAAUGCAGCUCUAAGUGGGUGGUAAAUUCCAUCUAAAGCUAAAUAUUGGCGAGAGACCGAUAGCGAACAAGUACAGUGAUGGAAAGAUGAAAAGAACUUUGAAAAGAGAGUGAAAAAGUACGUGAAAUUGUUGAAAGGGAAGGGCUUGAGAUCAGACUUGGUAUUUUGUAUGUUACUUCUUCGGGGGUGGCCUCUACAGUUUAUCGGGCCAGCAUCAGUUUGGGCGGUAGGAGAAUUGCGUUGGAAUGUGGCACGACUUCGGUUGUGUGUUAUAGCCUUCGUCGAUACUGCCAGCCUAGACUGAGGACUGCGGUUUAUACCUAGGAUGUUGGCAUAAUGAUCUUAAGUCGC